AUGCAGCAGCCGCCACUCUUAAGACUGACCUUUGUGCCAUCAGGACCAUCGACUAGGCCAUCUUCCAGAUGAUACGGAAUAGAAGUUAAUCUCGCCAUCGGUCAUAUCAGGACCCCAUUUGAGUUGCCAAACGCAUUCGCCAUGCUUACAAUUGACACCUCGGGAGACAUAUAAAGGCUGUUUGCAAUCACCACGCAAAUUAUAGACAGCAACAUUGCCAUCAUAGAGGCCAAUUACAACCAGAAAUGGAUAAGUAGGAUGUAUAUCACAGCACAUGACGCCGCAAUCAGUUUGAACUAAGGCGAGAAGUCAUUUAGAACCUAACCAAGAGAUUAUCCCGCAGCUCUACUCACUUAUGUAAUCCGGGAAUGACGGAUUCUUCACCGUGAAUAGACAAAGAUAACCCUCAUUUGUCUGUUUCAUAAAGUCAUCUGCCAAGUAGAUGAAUAUAAAGAUAUCUCCUCUAAAUAACAAUUUUUCACUACUUACGUGAACCAAAACAAACGGCAAAUAGAUCAUAGUAACUUGGAUUAAACAAUAUAUCGGUGACACUCA